UGGAUAUUAAAUCACAACGGCUACACCAUAUUCAGAGGAAAGAUGAUAAGGUUGUCGUGUGAGUCUGUGUGAAUAAUGAAUUGGAUGUUUAAUAUUUUUGGGUAAUUCGGCACACCAUUCGUGAACAACAAACUUGCAUUCCACGCAACUAUAGGCCAUGCCCCUGAUUUUUCCCCAACAAGCAUAGCAACUAAUGUUUUCC
rnacentral:lncRNA from 1 species